UGAAAACAUGGUUUUCAAGGCCUGAGAAUCAUAAUAGAACCUAAAACCCCCAAAUCAAACCCAACCCCCAAAUCAAACAAACUCCAAAAUCAAAUAGAACCCUAAAUCUCACCAAUAAUCAAACACAACCCCCAAAUUAAACCCUACAUUGAGUCCAAAUCAUGUAUUAUAGUGAAGCCUUGAGUGAAACCGAACCCCUUAGCAAACGUGAGAGAACGAGAUAAUGAAAUGAGAACGUGAGUAAAGAGGGAACGUGAGUAGAAGAAGUGUGGUAAAGAGUGAAGUGAAAGAAGAAGUUUGAGAAGUGAAAGGAGAUAAUGAAAGAAGAACGUGAGUGAAAGAAGAAGUGUUUGGUGUU